rnacentral:misc_RNA from 1 species
CACCAAUCAAGCAACGCUUGGUAUUGGGCGUCCGGUCCACUUGUUCAAAAUGGACCCGCCAGAAAUGCAUCGGCGUGGAAACCGACCCCCGGCGUGUUAAGAAUCUCACAGUUCGAACGUCGGGAGCACCGGUGGCCUCUGCCGCAACCUCUUUGUCACCAAA